CCUACGGGGGGCAGCAGUGGGGGAUAUUGGACAAUGGGGGAAACCCUGAUCCAGCGACGCCGCGUGAGGGAAGAAGUAUCUCGGUACGUAAAGCCCUAUCAGCAGGGAAGAAAAUGACGGUACCUGACUAAUAAGCACCGGCUAACUACGUGCCAGCAGCCGCGGUAAUACGUAGGGGGCAAGCGUUAUCCGGAUUUACUGGGCGUAAAGGGCGCGUAGACGGCAGCACAAGUCUGGCGUGAAAUCCCGGGGCUUAACCCCGGAACUGCAUUGGAAACUGUGCGGCUGGAGUGCGGGAGGGGUAAGCGGAAUUCCUAGUGUAGCGGUAAAAUCCGUAGAUAUUAAGAGGAACAC
rnacentral:rRNA from 1 species